GGAUGUUCUCUAACCCUGCUGUGUGGCUGCUCCAGCUCCGUGGAGGUUCUCUAACCCUGCUGUGUGGCUGCUCCAGCUCCGUGGAGGUUCUCUAACCCUGCUGUGUGGCUGCUCCAGCUCCGUGGAGGUUCUCUAACCCUGCUGUGUGGCUGCUCCAGCUCCAUGGAGGUUCUCUGUCCCUGCUGUGUGGCUGCUCCAGCUCCGUGGAGGUUCUCUGACCCUGCUGUGUGGCUGCUCCAGCUCCGUGGAGGUUCUCUAACCCUGCUGUGUGGCUGCUCCAGCUCCGUGGAGGUUCUCUAACCCUGCUGUGUGGCUGCUCCAGCUCCGUGGAGGUUCUCUAACCCUGCUGUGUGGCUGCUCCAGCUCCAUGGAGGUUCUCUGACCCUGCUGUGUGGCUGCUCCAGCUCCAUGGAGGUUCUCUGACCCUGCUGUGUGGCUGCUCCAGCUCCAUGGAGGUUCUCUGACCCUGCUGUGUGGCUGCUCCAGCUCCAUGGAGGUUCUCUAACCCUGCUGUGUGGCUGCUGUGAUGGACCC